UGGGAACAUACCCUUUGGUUCGGAAUAACUCAGGGAAACUUGAGCUAAUACCGGAUAAGCGCGAGAGCGGAAAGAUUUAUCGCCGAAGGAUUGGCCCGCGUCCGAUUAGCUAGUUGGUGAGGUAAUGGCUCACCAAGGCGACGAUCGGUAGCUGGUCUGAGAGGAUGAUCAGCCACACUGGGACUGAGACACGGCCCAGACUCCUACGGGAGGCAG
rnacentral:rRNA from 1 species